AACAAAAUAUGUAAAUCGCAUUACAGAAUAUAAUAUAAUAUGAAACAAAAAAUAUAAAGGAAGCCAAGACAACUAAUAUAAAAAAUAAUCAAAACAAAACACAAGUGGGAAUAAGGUAAAAAUAAAAGUAAUACAUAGAUAAAUGCUGUCAAUGUCUGCUAUAGAUAGGCAAGGCCUUGCAUAAUGCGAUUUACAUAUUUUGUUUACAC